UACGUAGGGUGCGAGCGUUGUCCGGAAUUAUUGGGCGUAAAGGGCGCGUAGGCGGCCAUUCAAGUGACGGGUGAAAGCCCUCGGCUUAACCGAGGAACUGCCUGUCAGACUGGAUGGCUUGAGACCGGGAGAGGUGAGUGGAAUUCCCAGUGUAGCGGUGAAAUGCGUAGAUAUUGGGAGGAACACCAGUGGCGAAGGCGGCUCACUGGACCGGAACUGACGCUGAGGCGCGAAAGCGUGGGGAGCAAACAGG
rnacentral:rRNA from 1 species